UGAAAGACAAUAGCAAAUAAUUUCUCUAUCUAAGCUGUUUUUGUUGUUUCUAUAAAUACCUUAGAUUUGUGAUUUUAGAUUUUAUUCGCAAAUAUAAAAACAAUAAAACCACACGUGGACAUAAUGCAUUUACUAUCAUUCAGGAUGAUACUAAAACAGUGAAACAUGUCAUGUACAGUUUAAAUAGAUUCAUGAUAUAAUACAAAAGUAUUUUCUAGCAUAAUGACUCCCUAAACUGCCUCACCCACUUGAAGAGAGGUGUUGAUGACUAUAUACAGUAGGUGGCGGCACCUCUUAAACACCACAGAAGAAGCUGAAAAGCAUCAACAGGAAGUACUUUGUUAUCAUCCUCUAUCUAGUUUUCAAACCAAACACAUUACCACACGCUUUUGCAGGAUGUUUCUAAUGUAAGAUUAGUCUAAAUGAGACGUUCAUUUGUCACAACUUAAAUGGAGUUUUGAUAUUUAUGAAGUUGUGGUCGAGCUUUUCUUUAUCUGAACGCUGUGACUAAGAAAGUAACUGUAGCAUACACAUUUAGUGUCGUUGUUUAUUUUUUUAGAAAGAAUACAGUAACGUCAGCUUCCACGAUGGAUCGGUUCCACUCUGCCCUGGUGUUUUCCUGCAGUCGACCAGCCACACAGACACCCUCUUCAGAUCCAGCAGUAAGGCGCUACCAGGAGAGUUGUGACCAGGGGACUCCGGCAGGGUGGAGGGGGACGGACUAGCUCUGUCCUGGUGACCACAGGAAGAAUUGUACAUAGAAUAUCAUUAGACCAAACAUUUGAUUACUUUAGUCUGGAUUUCUGAUUGAUUGGUGCAUACUUCUAAUAUCACAUUUCUCCUGAAGUGUGUCACUGAUCACUACUUUCCACAACAUUUUCAAUCACUUUGCCAAAUAUUUCAGAUGGAAGUGGUUUUUAUAUAUUUUUUUUUUUACAAAUUUCAAAAUUGAUAACACUUGGAAUGCUCCAUCUUAUGUUCAGAAUGUUUGGUUGAGCAUUCAUUGGAGUUUAACAUCUUUCACCCGAGUUAAUCUUAGUUAAAUUUUGGGUUAAGUGUCACAUAAUUAGUCAACUGCUCGCUUAAGUUCUGGGUUCAUAAGUGGAGAGAUUAAGAGAUGGUAGAACAAGGAGAAGAACCGGAAUGAGAAGCUCCACCCCCUCUUUCAAGAUACGGGCUGAAUGUCCCCUCCCCUUCCAACAUGUGACAGAUGGUAACACCUGCAAAAUCAUGAUUGGUUCAAAUAACCAGUGACACAAAACCUAAACACCAGAACUAUUGCUGCUCGUUAUCCCACUUUUGGAGCAUGUUGAGAAAAAUCUCAGUCUCAUAGUUUCAGUAUUCUUAUACAGUACAUAUGUAACAGUAUAACUGUAGACCGUCCCCUCGCCCAUACCAGGGCGCGAACCAGGGACCCUCUGCACACAUCAACAACUGACACCCACGAAGCAUCGUUACCCAUCGCUCCACAAAAGCCGCGGCCCUUGCAGAGCAAGGAGAACUACUACUUCAAGGUCUCAGAGCAAGUGACGUCACCGAUUGAAACGCUAUUUAGCGAGCACCACCGCUAACAAGCUAGCUGUUUCACAUCCGUUACACAUACAUAGAAGAAACCAUCAGUUAUAGGGGUAUUGUGGCAUGUAGUAGAAACCUACAGUAAAAAGGUAUGGGUGUUGCCUGGUGUAAUUUCUGCCCCAUGUAACAUUGUUCAAGAUCCACUUUUCUAUGUGACUUGUUACUGUAACAGCAGCCACAUCUAAAAAUCAACAACAUUCAGAAAUAUUUUCAAAAGUGAUCAAUUGAAAAUGGCCUAAGUGUUUUGAAACAUAUUUUUGUGCUUCGAGUUGUGAAAAUCUACCAUUGGAUUGGGCUAGUCAUGGGCUAGUGGGAGUGAAGGAAAGUGAACAAGUGCACACUUAACGAGGACGGAAAGAUAACUAGGGAUUCCUUAACAUAUUAUGUAGGCAGAGGCGGCGCUAGCGUGAGGGCCAUGGGUGCGACUGUUCCUGCAGAUGAAUCAAUAAAAUACAAAGGAAAAUUAUGUGAACAUCCCAUUAUUUAACACUAUAAGCAUUAUUUAACCCUACAAAACAUGGCAAAUGUAUAUGAUUGAAUUAAAUCCUGGAAUUGGUCUAGGUGGUUGUUGCUUAUUUUAUAAAGCAAUGUACCCUACUGUCAGUAUACCUCCUUGAGGGCUCCCCUGGGACUGGUAGCUACGCUGCUGGUGGGGGAAGGAACAGGGUAUUUAUUUAGUAAAUAAUUUAUUAAGUGUUAAUAGUUUAAAUUAAGUUAACACACUGCCAGGACUUGAGGUAGACCUACUUUAGAAGAAUCCAACAAUGACGCAUUUUGUAGUUUUGUAAUUUGAGUCAUUUUACAUGGUCUAACAUAUCUGUAGGCAGGAAUUAGGAAACAAAACAUUCAAAAGAACAGAAUAGCAUAUUCUGAGUUUAAAGGUAGUUUCAGUGAUAUGAUGUAGGCUAUAUGCACAAAGUAAACAGCAUAGUGAGUCAAUAACAUGGACUUAAUAAAGGCAGAACUAGUCACUUUAAAUAACACCGCUUUAAUAAUGUUUACAUAUCCUACAUUACUCAUCUCAUAUGUAUAUAGUGUAUUCUAUAGCAUCUACUGCAUCUUGCCUAUGCUGCACGGCCAUCGCUCAUCCAUAUAUUUAUAUGUACAUAUUCUUAUCCAUCCCUUUACAUUUGUGUGUAUAAUGUAGUUGUGAAUGUGUUAGAUUACUUGUUAGAUAUUACUGCAAUGUCGAAAUUUGAAGCACAAGCACUCCGCUACACUCGCAUUAACAUCUGCUAACCAUGUGUAUGUGACCAAUAAAAUGUCAUUUUAUUUCCGCAAUAACCAAGAACGUUGAACCGCGAGGCUAAACUUCUCCAAUGUUUUGGUCCCAUGGCUACCAUGCUGGAAGAGCAUGAAGCAUACCCUUUGCACAGAUACUGUGAGUGACUGUGUGAGAGUAAAGUCUUGCAUCUCGCUCAUUGCAAUAUCUGCGGUGCUGCUUGUGGCAUCGUUUUGCUGAGUCUACCUUUAAUGUAGCUUAUUUUACAGUCACUAUGCAAUUUAGUUUUAAUUAUUAUAGUAAGAAUGAGAAACAAAAAACAACAUUAAGUGAAAAGUAGGCAUUGGUUUGAAGCUGAAAAAAUUAAUUCCCAUGAUCCCAACUCCACCCAUGAUCCCAACUCCACCCAUGAUCCCAACUCCACCCAUGAUCCCAACUCCACCCAUGAUCCCAACUCCACCCAUGAUCCCAACUCCACCCAUGAUCCCAACUCCACCCAUGAUCCCAACUCCACCCAUGAUCCCAACUCCACCCAUGAUCCCAACUCCACCCAUGAUCCCAACUCCACCCAUGAUCCCAACUCCACCCAUGAUCCCAACUCCACCCAUGAUCCCAACUCCACCCAUGAUCCCAACUCCACCCAUGAUCCCAACUCCACCCAUGCUCUACCAAGGUUUUCCAGCACACAGCUUUGACCUACUACAGUAGCUAUGUUGGUCUAUUGUACUUCAAACAAUGAUUAUGCAGGUUGCUUAUGAGCCAAACAUUCUCAGAGCCCAAUUCAGACUCUUAGAGGAGGUGCUCCCACAGUGAUUUUUACCGCCUACAAGAAUUCAUUGCACACCACACUAAUCCCAUUCCACUAACUUUUGAGGCUUUAUGUUUUAUUAUACUGAGCAAAAAUCUAAAACGCAACAUGAAACAAUUGAAUAUAUUUUUCUUCAUAUGAGAAAAUCAGUCAAUUGAAAUAACUUCAUUAGGUCUUAAUCUAUGGAUUGCACAUGAUUGGGAAUACAAAUAUGCAUCUGUUAGUUACAGCUACCUUAAAAAAUGGGCCUCAAGAUUUCGUUGCGGUAUUUUAGUGAUUUCAAAUUGCCAAUCGAUAAAAUGCAAUGGUGUUCGUUGACCGUAGCUUAUGCAUGCCUGCCCAUACCAUAACCCCACCGCCACCAUGAGGAACUCUGUUCACAAUGUUGACACCAGCACUCCCUAAAAACUUGGAGACAUAUGUGGCAUUGUGUUGUGUGACAAAACCGCACAUUUUAGAGUGGCCAUUUAGUUUAAUUUAAUUGUCCCCAGCACAAGGUGCACCUGUGUAAUAAAUAUGCCACACCUGUCUGGUGGAUGGAUUAUCUUGCAACAGAGAAAUGCUCACUAACAGGGAUGUAAAGAAAUUCAACAAAUGUACAAAACAUUUUAUAGAAAUAAUAUUUUUGAGAAUAUGGAACAUUUCUGGGAUCGUUUAUUUCAGCUCAUGAAACAUGUGACCAACACUUUACAUGAUACAUUUAUAUUUUGUUCAGUGUAUAGCUUUGCUUUAAUACUGUCUGUCAGUAUAAAUCCUUGAGGGGACCCCUGGGACUGGUAGCUACACUGCUGGUUGGCUGCUGGUGGGGGAAGGACCAGGGUCUUCAAAAUGAUUUAUUUAUUGAGUUUAAAUUAAGUUAACACACUGCUUUAAUACUGUCUGUCAGUAUACCUCCUUGAGGGGACCCCUGGGACUGGUAGCUGCACUGCUGGUUGGCUGCUGGUGCGGGAAGGACCAGGCUCUUCAAAAUGAUUUAUUUAUUGAGUUUAAAUUAAGUUAACACACUGCUUUAAUACUGUCUGUCAGUAUACCUCCUUGAGGGGACCCCUGGGACUGGUAGUUGCACUGCUGGUUGGCUGCUGGUGGGGGAAGGACCAGGCUCUUCAAAAUGAUUUAUUUAUUGAGUUUAAAUUAAGUUAACACUCUGCUUUAAUACUUACAAGACCAUCAUGAUUAAUUGACUGAAUGAUUUAGUCUUGUAGUAAUGUGGUCCCUGCCUGUAUUUCCUUAAACCUUUGUUUUAGCAAUUUAGUUACUAUUUAUUUUUGAUUUAACCUUUAUUUAACUAGGAAAGUAAGUUAAUAACAAAUUCUUAUUUACAAUGAUAACCCACCGUUCCCCAGUAUGCUAACUGCCUUGUUCAGGGGCAGAACAACAGAUUUUUACCAUGUCAUCUAGGGGAUUCGAUCCAGCAACCUUUCGGUUACCGGCCCAACGCUCUAACCACUAGGCUACGUGCCACCCCAAUACAUGUCAUUAAAAAAAAUAUAUAUAAUUCAUAACAGAUUUUCUUGCCCCCACCCCUAGCGCCGUACAUGGCAGAGUUGUUGACAAAUAUCCAGAUCGGAGUUGUAAAAAAUAAUCAAGACGGUCAAUGAAGCCAGUCAACUGGCAGAGUUGUUAGUUUGGCCACUGUUGAUCUAAACAGAUUUGUAUUACAUUUUCAAGAGGACAGGAGAAGAAGCACAAUGGAAUUUAUUCUGAAUGUUUGAAAUUGGUGAGUUUUCCCUGAUGUUAGCCAGCAUGCAUAUGCUCACUGCAGUGCACAACGUGCUGUUUACGUGUAUUUGUUUUCUCAGCUACAGUUAGAGUUGUGUCCUGUCCGACAGUGAAAUAUGUCUAGCUCUUACCAUAGCUUGGUCUAUGGAGUUGCUAGCUAGUGUUGCAAAAGUCUAUUGCGUUGCAUGCAUUGUAAGGUAGCAGCGUGUCAAUUUGGUCCUUCUGUAGCUCAGUUGGUAGAGCAUGGCGCUUGUAACGCCAGGGUAGUGGGUUCGAUUCCCGGGACCACCCAUACGUAGAAUGUAUGCACACAUGACUGUAAGUCGCUUUGGAUAAAAGCGUCUGCUAAAUGGCAUAUAUUAUUAUUAUUAUAGCUAUGCCAUUAUUAUUAUUUAUUUUUUAUCCAGUCCUAUAAAUACUCCAAACAGCCUACUCUACCUCUCGGAGGCGUACGCAUGGUCCUAAAGCACACCAUUAAUACAUUUAGUAUCACAUUCCAAUGAUAAAACUAGGGGGGACAAAGAUGCAAUUUCAGAAUGAGGUGGAGACAUGUUCACUCCAUCCCCAGUGAAAGUUGCACCCCUGGUUUUUGGUAUAUUUGAGUUGUCACUAGUAGACUAAGCAUAUAGGUGAUUAGAGGAUGUUGAAAUGAAACUUGAACAGUGGAGGCAGCGCCUGUUUUCUUUUUUCGACUUGCGGUAACUUGCUCGACCAUUCUGAAGGUCAUGUAACUGUUACAUGCAACAUUUCUUGUGAACUUAACAGGACAGAUGUUGCUCUCUAGUUUUAUGAUGUAACAAAGGUCUGGUUGAAUGUAUUCUGCCACUGUCUUCUUGUCUCAGCUGAGUCCAGACAUAUGAACUAACAGGUUAUAACAACGCAAUUAUCACAACAUGUAUUAUGGCUAUUUUUCUGUCUUGGCUUCCCUGGUCAUUUUACCCACACACCGCUACUGCAAGGUGUAGGCUUGGCCUCAUUAUUUCACCAAGGUAAAGUUGGUUUGUCAAAAGCCAUUUAAAGUGGUAUAAAUCAAUAACUAAUUAACUGUCACGGAAACAUAAAACUAAAUAUUAUUUAUUCUAUAAAUGUCUAGCACACUUUUACAACCUUUGUUUUGGGGAAAAAAUCCAGUUUUGAUUUGAUAGAGGGCAUGUAGUCUAUCAAAUUUAAAUUUCUAUCAUAUCAAAACUGGAAUUUCUACUCCAAGCAAAGGUUGUAAAAUUAUGCUAAUAGACAGUUAAUUAAUAAAUCAUACCUAGUUUGUGACAAACGGUGAAAUAAUUAUUGAUUUUUACAAUUUUAAAUGGCUUUUGGCGAAUGUCUGUUGAAUGUCCGAAUGUGUGAAUAUAAAACCAACUUUACUUUGGCCUCAUUAUUUCUCCAUGGUUUCUGACUUUAGCUUCUCGUUGCCUUGUAUUAAAUAAACAGUGUGCGAUAGGCUA